rnacentral:tRNA from 1 species
CGGGCAGUGCCUCAGUGGUAGAGCUCCCGCUUCGUAUGCGGGAAGGCCUGGAUUCGAUUCGCGGCUGCUCAC